rnacentral:lncRNA from 1 species
UGGCCAUUGAAUUAGAUCUAAACAAUCAACUCAUAAUGCUCAAAAUGCAGGUUUUCAAUAUAGAGAAAUCUUAUUGGCUUUACCUUCUGCUAAACUCUCUCUUCGCUCAUGUGAUCCGCUCAUGCCAAUCCUUUGGACUUAUUAUUUGAAACACGCCUUACUGUUUGGAUUGAGAGUAAACAAUCCUACUUAGAAGGUCAACAAAUUAGACCAACUAUAAAUGAAAACUGAAGGAUGAACAGAAUGUAGUGAUUAUAAAGAUGAUAACUUAAUCACCACUUACUUGGCUCUGAUCAGGUCUUCUUGCUGUCAUUCUUCCCCUUCAGAAAUUCUCUGGUUAGGAAAUCAGGAAUGCAAUUUUAACUACCUUUGAUGUAUUCGAUUUCAAAAUAAAAAAAUACUUAAUAUAGCUUGCCAUCGUACAAAAAUAUGUUUUGAUGCAAUGUAGUGAUUAUAAAGAUGAUAACUCAAUCACCACUU